GUCCUUCCUUUCCUAUGAGGAACUUGUCAUCAUCUGGAAUAUAACUUUAUAGAUUAUCUGUGUUUCAAAUAAAAAGAAAGUGGGGGAAGUAAAUUUGAAAAUAAAAUUGGAAAUCACAGAUAUUCUCCUCUAAUAAAAGAAGAGCAAUAUGAAUUUUAUAUAUAUAUGUCCACAUCUUAAAUUAUGAGUAUUUCCAAAGUAUAUAUAAAGAAGUUUUUAAUCAGAAAGAACCUACUAGUAGCUUGCCCCUCUUUUCCCCCUGUCUUGAUCAUGGAAUAAAAUUUGCCAUCUCUUUAUUCUCCAUAGGGAAUUCUAAAUCAUUAACAUGAACACGUUCAUUUUAAGAAGGAAGCAACACUGAAAUGCUUAUGGAGAUUUACAGAAAACUUUCCUGGAGCUAAAAAGUGAAGAUGCCUAUCAUUUAUGAAUAAAGUACCCGGGAGGCCUCCAUGCGGAUCAGAGAUGAAAUACCUCAUGCAAUGAGUGAACAGAAUGCUUAACUGUGGGAGGUCAGCGUUAUUGUGCACAUGUCCCCAGAGAGGCACACAGGGCUGCUGAGAAGGGGAUCUUCCUUUCUCAAAAUAAAUAAAGGUAGAUCUAUUAUAUAGGAAGUUAUAUAAUCAAGAGCAAAAAUAUUCUAAACUGAACCUUCCCAACCUCCAGGCUUACUCGACAGAGAUUUUUGCCAAGGUUUUGGGAAAACGUGGUCUCUUCUUGAUAGCAUUUCAAAGCAGGAACUUUGGAAUCCUUGGCUUCUGGCCACCCGUAUAACUAUCUCAUGGAGAGGUCCUUGCCAAGAGAUGGAAAACAGAGUCCUGGUAAUGCUAAUUGUCUCCCUAGAUAGAGUUGUACCAGAAGUCAAACUAAACUCAGAUUUGUGCAUGCAUAAGCCAAUUGUUUGUCU
rnacentral:lncRNA from 1 species